rnacentral:rRNA from 1 species
GUCCACGCUGUAAAACGAUGUCAACUAGAUGUAGGGGGUGUUGAUCCCUUCUGUGUCGCAGCUAACGCAUUAAGUUGACCGCCUGGGGAGUACGGUCGCAAGAUUAAAACUCAAAGGAAUUGACGGGGGCCCGCACAAGCGGUGGAGUAUGUGGUUUAAUUCGAUGCAACGCGAAGAACCUUACCUGGUCUUGACAUCCCAGAAAUCUCUUAGAAAUAGGAGAGUGCUUCCAUUAGGAAGAAUCUGGAGACAGGUGCUGCAUGGCUGUCGU